rnacentral:rRNA from 1 species
UACAUGGGGUGCAAACGUUGCUCGGAAUUAUUGGGCGUAAAGCGCGCGUAGGCGGUUACUUAAGUCGGAUGUGAAAGCCCUCGGCUUAACUGAGGAAGUGCACCCGAAACUGCAGAGCUUGAGUACCGGAGAGGAUGGCGGAAUUCCCCAAGUAGAGGUGAAAUUCGUAGAUAUGGGGAGGAACACCGGUGGCGAAGGCGGCCAUCUGGACGGAUACUGACGCUGAGACGCGAAAGCGUGGGGAGCAAACAGG